UGUUGUGUGGCUUAGUUGGUUGAAGCACCGGUCUAGCGAAUCGGAGGUGUGGGUUCAAAUCUCACCAGAAUGC
rnacentral:tRNA from 1 species